rnacentral:snRNA from 1 species
GAGUGUUACUGCUCUUUUAGAAUUUGUCUAGCAGGUUUUCUGAUCUUCACGGGAAAGCUUUA